rnacentral:rRNA from 1 species
AUGGUCUAGCUAGUCUAAUUAAGCAAAAUGUAAUUAAAGUUUAACCCCCCGAAACUAAGUGAGCUACUUCGAAACAACUAUAAGAGUGCACCCAUCUCUGUUGCAAUAGAGUGGGAUGAUUUCCAAGUAGAGGCAACAAACCUAUCGCACCUAGAAAUAGCUGGUUACUCAAGAAACGAAUUUUAGUUCAACCUUAAGUUUUUAUAGUAACUUGAAACCCCAAUGAAACUUAAGAGCUACUCAAAUAAGGCACAGCUUAUUUGAAAUAGGAUACAACCUAAACCACAGGGUAAUAUUUUUAAAUAAAAUGUUAAGUAGGCCUAAAAGCAGCCAUCUUAAACAAAAGCGUCAAAGCUUGACAUUUUAUUUUCCUAAUCUCCCACAUUUUAUAGAACCCUUAUUUAAUAUUGAGUAAUUCCAUAACCAUAUGGAAAAUAUAAUGCUAGAACUAGUAACAAGAAAUAGAACUUUCUCCAUAAUAUAAACCUAAGCCAUAUAUGACAAACUACUGGCAAUUAACGUAAAUGAUAACCCUUUAGUAACUAAACAAGAAAAUCCUACAACACUUAACGUUAACCUUACACUAGAAUAUUCAUGGAAAGAUUA